GACGAACGCUGGCGGCGUGCUUAACACAUGCAAGUCGAACGGAAAGGCCCUGCUUUUGUGGGGUGCUCGAGUGGCGAACGGGUGAGUAACACGUGAGUAACCUGCCCUUGACUUUGGGAUAACUUCAGGAAACUGGGGCUAAUACCGGAUAGGAGCUCCUGUUGAAUGGUGGGGGUUGGAAAGUUUCGGCGGUUGGGGAUGGAGGCGAGGUUUAUCAGCUUGUUGGUGGGGUAGUGGGUUACCAAGGCUUUGACGGGUAGCCGGCCUGAGAGGGUGACCGGCCACAUUGGGACUGAGAUACGGCCCAGAGUCGUACUAUAUCCACCAGUUCAAAAUAUUCCACAAUAAUCGCAAGCCUGAUACAACAACUCCGCGUGCGGGAUGACGGCCUUCGGGUUGUAAACCUCUUUCUCCUUUAACAAACCCUCAGUAACAUUCAUUUAUAAAAAACCACCGGCUAACUACCUG
rnacentral:rRNA from 1 species